rnacentral:rRNA from 1 species
UACCUGCAGCUCGAGUGGUAACCGCUAUUAUUGGGCCUAAAGCGUCCGUAGCCGGUUUGGUAAAUAUCUGGGUAAAUCGUGAGGCUUAACUUCACGAAUUUCGGAUAGACUGCCAGACUUGGGAUCGGGGGAGGUCAGAGGUACUCCAGGGGUAGCGGUGAAAUGUUGUAAUCCUUGGAGGACCACCGGUAGCGAAGGCGUCUGACUAGAACGAGUCCGACGGUGAGGGACGAAGCCCUGGGGCGCAAACCGGAUUAGAUACCCGGGUAGUCCAGGGUGUAAACAAUGUGGGCUUUGUAUUGGAGGUCCCACGUGGGCGUCCAGUGCAGAAGAGAAGUUGUUAAGCCCACCGCCUGGAAGUACGGUCGCAAGGCUGAAACUUAAAGGAAUUGGCGGGGAGCACAGCAACGGGAGGAGCGUGUGGUUU